rnacentral:rRNA from 1 species
UACAGAGGGGGCAAGCGUUGUUCGGAAUUACUGGGCGUAAAGGGCGCGUAGGCGGCCUUCUAAGUCGAACGUGAAAUCCCCGGGCUCAACCCGGGAACUGCGUCCGAUACUGGAAGGCUUGAAUCCGGGAGAGAGAUGCGGAAUUCCAGGUGUAGCGGUGAAAUGCGUAGAUAUCUGGAAGGAACACCGGUGGCGAAGGCGGCAUCCUGGACCGGCAUUGACGCUGAGGCGCGAAAGCCGGGGAGCCAAAGCGGG